rnacentral:rRNA from 1 species
UACAGAGGUGGCAAGCGUUGUUCGGAAUUACUGGGCGUAAAGGGCGCGUAGGCGGCCUUCUAAGUCGGACGUGAAAUCCCCAGGCUUAACUUGGGAACUGCGUCCGAUACUGGGAGGCUUGAAUGCGGGAGAGGGAUGUGGAAUUCCAGGUGUAGCGGUGAAAUGCGUAGAUAUCUGGAGGAACACCGGUGGCGAAGGCGGCAUCCUGGACCGACAUUGACGCUGAGGCGCGAAAGCCAGGGGAGCAAACGGG